AGCAUCUAAGCGCGAACCCCACCUCGAGAUGAGACUUUCAUUAAGGGACGUGGGAGACGACCACGUUGAUAGGCUGCAGGUGUAAAGCCAGAGAUGGCAAAGCUGAGCAGUACUAAUUACCCGAACGCUUCAAAACA
rnacentral:rRNA from 1 species